ACCAGAACAGAGACGGCAUCAUCAGCAAGGACGACCCUGAGGGACGUGUUGGCCUCAAUGGGUAAGAACCGAACACGGAGGUGACCUGAACAACACAGACGAGUGGAUGGAGAGAGAGACAGGAGUAGACAGGCAGAAAGGGACAACAAGUUGUACACUGAACUGAGGGAAAAAAAAACAAAAACAGACAGACAGACAGAUAAAUGAAUCAAUAGUAUAACUCUAAGCAGACAGACAGAUGGGUAGGUGAACAGACAGACAGGCAGAUAAGCCAUAGACUAAUCCAUAGACUAAAUGCAGAGAGAAAGCUAGAGACUGAAGGCAGAUAGACAGAUGGGUAGACAGACAGACAGACAGAUAAAUUAAACUGUAGACUAAGUCUAGGCAGAUGGAUAGAUGGGUCCGUAAACAGACAGACGAGCCAUAGAAUAAACAUAGAGAGAAAGCUAGACUGAAGGUAGUACAGAUAGGCAGACAGACAGAAAAAGAAACCAUAGACAUUAAACCUAGACACAAAGACAGAUGGAAAGAUACAGACUCACAGACAGCUAGAGACUCUAAGACAUAAGGCUGACAGAUAGAAGACAGACAGAUAUACAGACAGACAGCUAUAUUAGUAGAUAGAUAGGUAAUCAGUCUGACAGGCAGACAGAGAGAUAGAGAGAGAACAAGGCAUAGAUUAACCCUAGGCAGAGAGAAAACACAGGCAGACAGACAGGUAGACAGACAGAGACAGAGACAGAGAGAGCGAGAGCGGAGAGAGAGAAAGCAAGGCAUAGAUUAACCCUAGGCAGAGAGAAAACACAGGUAGACAGACAGAGACAGAGAGAGCGAGAGCGAGAGAGAGAGAGAGAGAGAGAGAGAGAGAGCAAGGCAUAGAUUAACCCUAGGCAGAGAGAAAACAGACAGACAGACAGGUAGACAGACAGGUAUGCAGGUUGACAAAUAAAGCAAAAGUAGACUGACAGAAGACAAAGCUACAGAUAAACAAACAGAGACAGACAGGUAGACAAAGACGCAUACAGAUGGAUACAUGUAUAGACAGACGGAUGUCAGACA
ensembl:lncRNA